UACCUCUCAGGAUUACACCUGGAGAGUUUCCAGUCCUCUACCAGUCUCAAUUAUGAGAGGGAAAGUCAAGCAGAGGCCUACUCAUUCCAUUACUAGCUUGGCCAGUGGCUAGCAAGUGAAAGGCUAUCUGCUACAAGU